UACGGAGGGUGCAAGCGUUAUCCGGAUUCACUGGGUUUAAAGGGUGCGUAGGCGGGCAGGUAAGUCAGUGGUGAAAUCUCUGGGCUUAACUCGGAAACUGCCAUUGAUACUAUCUUUCUUGAAUACCGUGGAGGUCAGCGGAAUAUGUCAUGUAGCGGUGAAAUGCUUAGAUAUGACAUAGAACACCAAUUGCGAAGGCAGCUGGCUAAGCGAAUAUUGACGCUGAUGCACGAAAGCGUGGGGAUCAAACAGG
rnacentral:rRNA from 1 species